CAGCAGUCGCCGCGGGAAUACGAAGGGUGCAAGCGUUACUCGGAAUUACUGGGCGUAAAGCGUGCGUAGGUGGUGGUUUAAGUCCGUUGUGAAAGCCCUGGGCUCAACCUGGGAAUUGCAGUGGAUACUGGGUCACUAGAGUGUGGUAGAGGAUAGUGGAAUUUCCGGUGUAGCAGUGAAAUGCGUAGAGAUCGGAAGGAACAUCUGUGGCGAAGGCGACUAUCUGGGCCAACACUGACACUGAGGCACGAAAGCGUGGGGAGCAAACAGGAUUAGAUACCCCGGUAGUCCCUGUCUCUUAUAC
rnacentral:rRNA from 1 species